AAUAAGUUGGCAGAAUAGUGCCACCGACUUAGAAUCGGUUCAUGGAUAAAUUCCACUUAUUAUG
rnacentral:tRNA from 1 species